GUACUGGGUACUGAAGUUGCGCUCGAGCGCUCGUCCGCUGCAGCGCGCCGUCCAGAAGCUCUGCGCUGCGCCACAAUAACUAACCCGCUCCGUGGAUGGUAAAUCCGUUUAACCCUUCAGUGGGAGGGCUGUUAAGGUCAUGUUUUCCUGGACUGCAUGCACCAGCCAAGCAACUACCAUAGAGAUGAAGUGCUAUGCUAACAAAUAGAUCUCCAGAAUGGUUCAGUCAUUACUCAGAAGUCUUCUACAGUUGACACAGGAGCCGGGAUAGGCCAAUUACAUCAGGACCGUUACUCAACCUUGUGAUCCCUAGAUCACCUCACCCUCAUUAAACGUCUACCCUCUUUGACAUCAGCAUCCCAGCAGAAAGCCAAUAUGCCCUGCCAGUCUCUUUUUUCUCCAACCUGGGACUGUUUAGACAAGUUUUUAUUUUAAGCUCAAGAUCACUGUGUUCUCAGCAUAAAUAACGCCAUCACUGCAGAUUACUGUGUUCGUUUUCUGAAGUCUUGAUUCAAUAAAAAUUGCACUUUGCACUAUAGGCUGCUUAGAAAUUGCAGGAUCAUUACAGUCUAACAUGCUGGUCAGAGAAAGCGCUCAAAUUGUGCCCAGCAAUUCAGAAAUAUUGACAGAAUACAGCAACAGUUUCUCUCCAAACACUUUAAUCAUUUCUCCGUCGUGAGUAAUCCUAACAGCGUUAGCGCUAAUGCCUGAGCUCACUGGAAUCCCUGACUCAUGUGAUCACAGGAUUACUGAUGAAAACCAGUUCACACAUGACUAUACCAAUAGAAUGUGGUGAGGAGGCAGGGCAGUGUUGGUUAGUAGGAAGGUAAAACAAUAACAAUACUCAAGGGCUUGUUGAUUUGAAUGUGAGGACUUAUAUUAAUAUUCGUAUUUGUAAGUUGAAAUUUACACUCACAGCUCUGAUGUGAAAAGCUGAAUCUUUCGAUUUGAAGAAAGUGGGUUGCUCAUCGUAUUCAGCAGCAUGUAUAUGCCAAAACGGUUGUAUUUAUACUUUGACCAUUAAGUUGUUUUUAAACUAAAAUUUUACUAACUUAGGCCAGCACAUUCACUACUUAUCACAACGGCAUAGGUUACAAAAAUUUUAUUACGCCACCAAUACAUUUGUACAGUUUAUUUCAUGUGUUGUGUAUGCUGUCACUAAGUGAUGACAUCACACAACUGGCAACUUUUUAAUAUUAACAUUCAAUUAAUAUUAUUAAUUUGAAUAAAAAUACAAAUACCUUGAUUCACUGAUGAACUUAGUAAUAAAUCAGUGUUACUUACUGUAGGUUUACUGGGUUAUUUAUCUUUAAUUCAAAACAGGAAUAUAUAUAUAUAUAUAUUUUUUUUGCCAUAAGAACCCCUAAGUAUUGAUGUAGACCAUUUGUUGAUAAAAGGAAUUACAUAUACUGCAUAGAACAGACAUUACUGUAAAACAGAACAUUAGGCCUACAUUACAGCAGAGUGUGUAGUGUGCCUACUGGAGCCGGGAGGAUGUGAAUUGUCUGCAUUGGUGAGUAUCCUGAUCCCCCACGGCUUUCCAGCAGCCAGCAUUGUCCAUUAUGUGAGCUGAUGAACACAUUUGUAACUUUUAAUCUGCAACUUCAAAUUCAAAACACAGAUGUUUUGAUUGUUGUCUGUGUGUGCAAAUAGAAAGAUUUACUGUAGCUUUUCACAUUAGAGCUGUGAGUGUAAAUUUCACCCUACAAAUAAAAUAUUAAUAUGACAAGUUCUCACAUUCAAAUCAACAAGCUCUGGAGAUUUUCUACUGUUUUACCUUCAUAGUUGGCAAUGCCUCUCUGCUGGACGAUGUCAUAGAUAUUUUACCACUUUACCAUAGGAAUGUAAAGGGUUAAUCACAACUGUAUAUCUGUUUUGAAUUUACUGUAUAUUUGCAUGUAUAUAUUGUAUGUAACU